GUAAGUUGAUAAAGUGUAAUCUGAUUAAGAACAUGAGCACUCACAGUCCAGAAAUCUUUCUCAGUGCAUCACUUUGUUCCCUCUACUGCAAACUUAAAGCCAAGUGCAACACAGUGCUGCAGCACUUGGUCUGGAGCAUGUGAUGAAGUAAACCCUGUGAACCCACUUACAGCUUGCUGAGUUUUAUGUUGUCCUCCAGCGUUUUGUUUCCACAUUUUACUUCUUCAUUUUUGGAGUGGAAAACAGCUCUGAAAGCACUUUUCAAGAAAGCAACGUCAAUGAAAAGCCCAACUGUUUCCAAACAGGUUGCAAACACCAGUCGUCUUCUUUGAAGAGAAUUGGGAACUGAAAUCAGGGUCAAAGGAUGAUGAAUAACAUCUUUGUGCUGAGCAGAGAGACGAAAGGGAAGAUAUUUUCUUUCUUUAUGUUUUGAUGUCAAUUAACUCAGCUGCUUUCCAUGUCUGCUUUUCCUUUUCAGGCCACUCUAACCUUUCUUCUCUCCUUAAUAUAAGGGCUAUAUUUCUGUCUCCUAAUGAAUAGCUGCAGCAACAGCAGAUGGCCUGAUGAUGUGGUUUGGGUUCUGUGCUUGAGGAUCCACUCUGUGCUUUGGAAACAGCUGAAUUUUGACAGCCAUUUGGACACCAUGGUCUGAGGGAACCAGUGAACCAUUUAAAAGCACAGCAUCCCCUAAUUUAGCAGUUAAAAUCGUGGGAACAGGAAACACUGCUGAAGUAGCAACUGGAGAUAAAGAUAUGCUUUCAGGAAGUACCCCACUGGAGGGUACAUUCUUGGCUUUUUUUUUUUUUUUUUGGUCACCACCACAGCUCAGGAAAGCAGGAUUAGAUGAAAUAGUCUGCCCUAGGGAAGCCCGAGCAGCUCUUGCUGUGGCAUACUGUCAGUUGUGUUGGUGUGGCACCUAAUGAGGAAAUAAUUGCAUGUAUCCUGGUGUCCAGAAAUAGUCUCUGAUGGGGUUGUCACAUGGCAAAUCAGCCUGUAGCUGCUGGGACAUCAGUCCAGAUGUGAAGAAGCUGUGUUGGUUCCAGCAGCUAACUUUACAAAUAAAUGUAGCAAAAAUGGUCUUGGGAGGACAAGGUUUUUGUUGGCUCUGCUAAACCUAAAGGCAUCCCUGUAGGCAGGUCAGGCUUAGCCAUCAUUAUGGCAACCUUGGGUCUCACCCAAAGCCUAUGAAGUCAAAGAGAAUCUAUCCAGUGAUUCCAGCAAGGCUUGGAUCUGUCGCACUGGGGACAGAACAGAAAAUUGUUUUCCUCCAGUUCUCCCGCGUAGAACAAUUUUGGAGCUCUUGUGUCUUUCAUUUUUCUCUUUCCAGCCCCUCUCUCUCUCUUGCCCUCUAAUAUUAUUUCUCUCUCUCUUCUUUGGCAGCAAACUGCUCUGGAAAAGUCAGAGGAGAAACAUGAUCAGGCUGUUUUCUUCACUCGCAUGCCGCCCUCGGCAUUGUCUCGGGCAAUGUCCAGGCCCAAGUCACUGCAGAUGUCCAACCAAAGUCCGUCAUUAGAGGCCAGUUGCAUAUUAUCACCUCUCGGGAUGCGGAACUUGCACUGCUGAGCAAUGCCACCCCUUGUCCUUCCCAUGCUUUCCUCUGCAUCUGAUACACAGAGCUGCAUCUGGAACUAUUUGCUGGGGUUUAGAUAUUUUCUCAUUGUGCUGUGCCAUAGCUCAAAUCCGGUAGUAGCUCUUGUGCUUCCUUUCUGAGUGCCACUGAACCUUACCUGUGUUUUGCCCAUGUAUUACCAUGGUUUCUACCUGGAUAAAGGAACAGGGAAUCUGCCAGGAGGUCUAACCCAAGAAUCCCUCCUGUAGAUGAGUGACUCAGAGUCACUGUCUUUAGCAUCCCUGCAACAAACCCUCCACCAGCAUUUCCUGCUCCUUACCUACCUAUAGGAAAGAUGAGACAACAAAUGCAAAAAGUAGGGGCUCAACUAAGUUACCUAUACAAGGGAAUCUUGUGUUAUUGGAGAUGCCUUAGACACAACUUCAACAUAGUAUGGCAGAUAUGACACAAGAUCUGUCUCCUCCCAGAGCAGUACUGGGCACCCACAUAAGGUAUCCAAAGGUAUUGAAUGACCUGUGUGUAGGCAGCUGAGUUCUCUCAAGGCUGCACAUAGAUCCUGUGCUAGUGCAGGAAACUGCACCUCAAUAUAAUAAGUUACAGCCCUUUGUUAUCAUUUUUACAUGGUUACACUUCAUGCAGCCAAAUCAGAGUUGUCCUUGAGAACAACCAGAAUGUCCUUUAUCCAAAUCCAGAUAUCCUAUUUUGUUUAUGAUACCAAAUUCUAUGG
ensembl:lncRNA